GAUAACCAAAAAGAAUACUUGGACUAAGAGUAAGGUUUGUAAUUUUUCUUACAUCCCCACCUCCGGGUGCCCAUGUGUCAUAGACACCGCCAAAGUACACAGACUUUAAUACUAAAAGGAAAGCACCAGCACCCAAUAGUAUUAAAUGAAUACCUAGAAUAGUGGUCAUUUUACUCUUAUCCUUCCA
rnacentral:antisense_RNA from 1 species